rnacentral:lncRNA from 1 species
GCGCUCAGCCCCGCCCCUGGCUCUGCCCCCGCCGCGGAGCGGAACCCUCCAAGUCGCGGCCUGAGGAGGAAGGAAAAGGGGGCGGCCCGGGAGAGCCGCUGCGAAAUCAGCAACGGGCGGGAACCAGGUUGCCUCCCUGAGUCCCUUCUCUCCCCGGCCGGCUGCCAACCACAGCCAAGGCCAGAGAAACAGGCCCUUCUGCCGCGGCCACCUGGGCGCCUUGGACCCGCCCUCCGGACUCGCCCCCGCCCCUGCCGCGGAGUGGAACGUUUGGAACCCUGAGGGGCACAGAUGGCGUCUCUCUCUGUUGCCCAGACUGGAGUACAAUGGUGUGAUUUCGGCUUACUGCAACCUCUGCCUCCCAGGAUCAAGCGAUUAUCCUGCCUCAGCCUCCUGAGUAGCUGGGACUACAGCUCCUCUAGCAAUUCCGAUGUGAAAAGAAGAUGGAUGGAGAAGCACUGAUUCAGCCAUGGCUGACAUGUCGGAGUUGGAAUGGACAGUGCCCGGACCUCACAGUCUCAGAGAACUGGAGAAGAGUAAAGCUGAAGAGGGCAUCAUCUGGUUACAAAUGACAAGUCCAGGGCUCCAGCUUCUUCGGCUCCUUGGCCAUGUGUGUACUUUAUGAUGAAGCGCCCAGCUUCUGCAGGAUAUCCAUACUGCCAAGGUCAAAAGCAACAAUAAGCGACGUGGGGCUCAGUCUGUUCUCGUGGGCUACAAUGCAUGCUUCUGGUUUCCAGGUUGUUCUUGCUCUCCCUUAUUUUACAUUUAUCCUUCCUUCCCAACUGCCUGUCCGAUAGAUGUCGAGUCCCAACAUCAGAUGUGAAGAUGAGAGCUUUAUAGAGACUGCUUAACCAGCUCCCACAGUUGUAUUAGGACAAAUCCCUGUAGCAAAUCCCUUUGUGUGUGUGUGUGUGUGUGUGUGUGUGUGUAUGUGUGUGUGUGUGCGCGCGCACGCGCGUGCACGCACCUUAGUGGUUCUCCUGUGAUUGAAUCCUGACUUACACAGUUUGAGAUAGAAACCUUCUGAAGCAAUUAGAUUAAAUGGUCUAUAACUGUGCUGUCCAACAUGGUAGCCAUUAGCUACAUGUGGCUAUUUAAAUUUAAAUUAAUUAAAGUUAAACAUAAUUAGAAUUUAGUACCCCAGUCAAGUUUCAAGUGCUCAAUACUGUGGUCACAUGUGGCUGGUGGCCACUGUUUUGGGCAGCACAGAUAUAGAGCACUUCCGUUAUUGCAAAAAAAUGUUCUAUGAGCACUGGUCUAUAGUGAUAAUUACUAGUAUUUACUGAGUUCUCACCAUGUGUCAGAUGCAGAUUCCAAGUUUGCUCUGGAGAGCACGAUGCGGCAGGCAAACGGGGAAAGAGAGAGAGUGAUGGGAAUCAGGUGGGAGAUUUUUUUUUUUUUUUUUGAGAUGGAGUCUCUCUCACUCUGUCACCCAGGCUGGAGUGCAGUGGCACAAUAUCGGAUCACUGCAACCUCCGCCUCCCAGGUUCAAGUGAUUCUCCUGCCUCAGUCUCCCAAGUAGCCAGGAUUACAGACUUGUACCACCACGCCUGGCUAAGUUUUGUAUUUUUAGUAGAGACAGGGUUUCACCAUGUUGGCCAGGCUGGUCUCGAACCCCUGACCUCAGGUGAUCCACCCUCCUUGACCUUCCAAAGUGCUGAGAUUACAGGUGUGAGCCAUUGCACCUGGCCAGGUGGGAGAUUUUUAAUGACCAGGCCUGGAGGUGGCACACAUCACUUAUACCCACAUCCAUUGGCCAGCACUCAGUUACACGGCCACUUCUAACUACAAGGGAGGUUGGGAAAUGUAGCCUAGCUGUGUGCUGAGGAAGAAAAAGUAAAAGCUUUGGUGCCAGCCAGUCUCUGCCACAUCAGAUUUAAUUUGAGCGCUGUGAAGUAAUUAAUGCCCAUUAAACUAAGGGUGGGACAAGAUUAAUGCUAAAAUCACUCUCCCCAGCCACCAUUUUCUCUCUUGUUCUUUGUCAUGAUAUUGACAAGGUCAAAAGUCAGGCAGUCAGCAUGAACCCGAGGAGGAGAAGUCCUUGCCACUUUGAGGCUGAAUAUGAACAGCCCCUUCUUUAUGACUCACCCUAUCAGCUUUGCUCCUAGCGAAUGUUCAUAUCGUGGUUCUCCGGGACCCUUGAAAGUGGGACUCCUAUGUGAGGAACUAGUUCUAUAAACAACUACAUGCUAGUAAAAAACCAUUAAGAGGGUUGGAAUUAGGCAUAGUCCUGCUGCAUAGAAAUCCUACUUAGUUGGAAAAAUUGUAUUUUUAAGUUGCCUCUGUUUUGAAGCCACGUUAACCCUUAACCUUCAGAAAAUCCUUAGCCAGCCUUUAUACAUUGGUAGCUCCUGUUCUAAUAAUGUCUUCUCCUCCUAUUUUCUUUGGCUUGUCAUGAGCUUUGAAAGUUUGAUCUGAGAUCCCUCACUUUUAAUAAUCUGUAACUCUGAUUUGGUAAUCUCCUACAUAUGAAUAAAAUGUCUGUGUUCAUUUAUUUCUAAUGAAUAAAUGAACAUGCCUGCUGAGCCAAGCCUUAAAUGUGAUUAAGGAGACUGACUUGGGUUCAGAUCCUGGCUCUGCCUUGAGUAAGUUUCUAACAUUCCUCUGCUUGUAUUUCCUUAUCUGUAAAAUGGGAGUGAUUUCUUUGAAUGAAAUUAUAUUACAUUUAUCAAGCAUUUUAUCACAGUUUCAACAAUAAGGUGUAAUUAUUAUUAAUUCAGACUAUAUGAUUCUGUGCCCUUGGAUAAAGUUUACCAUUAUAUAAUAAACUACUUUUCUCACUUAAUGCAAACAAUGUGGUAUCAGUAAUUUGUAGAGGGCAUUUUAAAAAAUCAUGAAGAUGGUUUCUUCCAGGAUUUACAUGCAUGAGAUUUCCAUUCUGACUAUAAAACAUUCUUAUUUAUUCACUAACACUAGGUUAGUGAGAAUGUCUGUUAGAACACUGUGCUCAUCUAAUUCAAGUUUCCAUAGUUUAGGAUCAUCAUAGGAAGGCACCUCCUACAAAGAUCAUGGGGUUCCAUCCCUUCGUAUUACACAUCA